CUAAUCGACUUUGAAGCGUUCGAUCGAAUAGUUAGAGGUACUUUGUUAUUUACGUAUGUGUUCGAGAUAAACGAGGAAAAUCUUAUAACAUAGGAGAAGAUCGCUCGGCAGCAUGAGAGAAUAGAGUGAUCGUUUGUAACACGGAAGCAAGUGUAUCGAAUUUAAACAGAAAGGUAAGAGUCAUCACCGACAUCAUGAUUUCAUUACCAUUUCCUGUAUCCGUCAUGAUAAUUUUGCGGCCAUCAGAAAAAAUAGAAGAUACAACGAAGAGGAUUAUCAAGACUGAAAUUUGAUCCACGUUGAACAGAAUAAUAAUAAGAAGAAGAAGAAGAAGAAAAAAUAAAAAAAAUAUUCUUGAUCAUGAUGACUACUUGGCUACCAGUUUGAAGUAGCGAAAGAAAAAGAAAAGAAAAAGAAAAAAAACAAAGAGAAAAAAGAAGAAAAAAAAGAUCGUACAAAAGUACUUUACCGAGAUGAUCGUUAUCAUCUCGUUACUUCCUUAACGUAUAUCGUUUUAGCCCUUUUUCGAAAUGUCACAACGACGAUGUUACGACUUUUUAGAAGAUACGUAGAUUGUAAGAAAAGUGCGUGGACACUUCGGGAGGAUAUAAAUCCAGAUGGAAACAUGUUCCAAGGUGGAAAGGUUGUCCUUUGGCGCGAUGAGUGUACCAAGAUAGGCCAAAGAAACAUGUCCGACGUAAUCUCUGACAAACACUUGUGUAAACACCAAAAACUCGACGUUAUUUUUUCAAGAGAUCUUUAGAAUGAAUGCAAUAACGUGGGCCAUGCACGACCCACGUGGCCUGAACGAAAACCCACGUGAAAGUACCCGGUCAUUCAAUGUGUUAAUACUCAAAACAUGUUAAUCAUUCCACGAGGAGAAAGAAUUAUUAUACGUUAGGUGGUCGAUCACCUCGAAGUGUCGAGAAAUCGUUUAACAGGCAUGGUUUAUUACUUUGAGAGAACGUAAAUCUUCGUUAACAAUGAGAGAAAUGACUGCUAUGAAAUGAAGCCGCGCGUAUUAUGUUUAACUCUCGUUAAUCUUUUAUUGGUCUUCGAAUGGACUUCUUUCAAUGAAUUUUGUUUAAAUAAUUUUACGAAGAUAUGAUUUAUAAUGAUUUUUGAUGUUUCUAUUAGACGAAUGAAAUCGUUUAGUUGUUUCAUUUGUAAAAACAAUUUGUAGAAACAAUUUAGGAGAAAAAGAGAGAGAGAGAGAGAGAGAGAGAGAAAAGAAAGAAAAAAAAUGAUCAUUCGAUAGAGAAAGUAAACUAAAUCUGAUUAGAAAAAAAAAGAAAUGUAAUAAGAAAAGAAUU